CGCUUACUCUGUCUUUCACUUCCUUCUUCUCCAUUAUUCCUUUGCUCUUUGAUUUUCUUUCUUCUCCUUCUUCUCUGUUGAUUAUUGGUCUCUUCAGUUUCUCUGUAUUAUUGUUUUUUUGAUGUUACUUCUUUGCAUCCGGAAAGUGUUACAUGAGGUUCUACCUGGAAGCGCUGUUCACUUUGUUACUGGAUUUUUGAAGUCAAUGGAUGGCUUAAAAUUGUGAUUACCAAGAAUAAGUAAGGUAUGCCUUUUCUACUUGAUUCAUCGAACACUUAACUCUGUUGGAUAGAUAUUAGAGCUACCAUUUAUUAAGCUCGCUGGUAUAGAGAAGAAGAGUUGUUUAAUUGGAGUCUCGAGAGGAAAUGGAACUAGAAAGCUCGACGAAAGGGAUAAGCUGUAUGAAUUUUCAGAAUAUCCUUAUCCACAAAGGGAAAGAACUAAAAGACCACUAUCAUACACAGCCGGCUACCACAAAUAGCAAGCUGGCAAUUUAAGUUCCAGGGGAUGGAAAAACUUCGCCCUUAGGCCUGAUAGAUGCAUUAGUAAUGAGCAGAAAGACAUUGCACAACUCUUUGCUCCUUAACUUGCUGCUUGAGGAAACCUCAUUCAAUUGAUUCUACUUGACUUUGAAGAUGUAUUGGAAGUUUAUGAACAAGGAGCUCCGGUUUUCUUAAGCAUCCAAUGCAACACUUUGUGAGAGAUUACUGUAAUUGGGCCCAUGCCGGCACUAGCUGCUUUUAGAAAGUGAUUUACUUUUUGCCGCUAAACUAAGCAGAAAUAUUCCAGUGAAAGGGAUUCUUAAAUCUUUACAGAUUCUAUUUGCGAGGUAAAAAGUUGAUGUGCUGUCCCAUCUAAGCUGCUACAUGUUAAUAGAAGGGUCUUGUAACCAAAAAAUUACUUUUUGAGCUAAUUUAAAUUUUACGCUUCCGGCAUCAAGGUUUAUAGAGUGGGGAUGGAACAUGGUCUUUUAUUUAAAGCAUUCUGUUUUAUGAGAUCUUUAUAGUAACUAUGAGAUUAUUCGUGUCUGUGCGUUUAAAUCAACUAAUUUCAUUUGUCCUUUUAUUUCAUUUUUACCUGAUUUUGUAUAUUCUUUAAUGAAGUUCUUUAAUUUCAUUUUCUUUUGGUGCCUAUUCUUUGGAUUGUUCUUGACAUAUUUUGUCCUUUGAUGGUUUCCUUUACGCCCGUUAUUUUAGUAGCUUCACGCCGCA